AAAAAAAUAUUACAAAAGUAAAAAAAAAAAUCGUAUAUCUCUGCCUUCCUAAAAAAAACGGGUUUCAUACCAUAUUUACCAUCUAAUCUCUUUGUCUUCCUAAAAACAUUCCCAAUUCUCAAGAUUACUUCCCGUAUGAUUUCAAGAUGAGAAGAUACUCAUCAACAAUUAGUGCCUCUGUAAUGUUUACAAAAUCCUUUAAGCAAGUAACACUUCCUCAGAUCUGAAUCUUUAUUAACUGAAAUUUAGGGAUUUCUACAUGGAAAGGAUUCACAAUCGAAGGCGAUCGUAUUCAUGCGACUGUUGGUCGGUCUCUUAUACCUAUGUUCAAACCAAAGAUAAAAGAAUUGGGUUUGUACUUUAUGAAGAACUUUGUGGUUGGACCAAAUUAUACGAAACUUAAAUAAACGCGACAUAAAUUGAAGUUGGCAUUUACUCAUAAGACGAUUGUAGAGGAAGCAAAUGAUCAUCUUUUUGGUAUGAGUAUCUUCGACUUAAAACCUUAUGAGUAUUUGAUAAACAAAAUUGAUGUUGAAGAAAGUGAACUUUUCGAUGUCACUGGAGAGGUUGUAAGUUAUGGUGAAGUAGAAUCCCAUAACCAAGGUGAUAAGACCAGCACUUAUAUGAAUGUGGAACUUGAAGAUUAUGAGAGGAAUAAUAUCUCGGCAACAUUUUGGGGAGAAUUCGUUGAUCGAAUCUUGCCACAUUUAGAGGGAUCACCCCAUCGGAGGGUCAUAGUUGUUAUGCAGUUGAUAAAAGCACACAAAUUUCAAGGAAAAUAUCAUGUGCGUAAUACUUGGCAUGCCUCAAAGCUCUGGAUUACCCGGAUCUUCCUCAAGCUGUUGAUUUUAAGUCGAGAUUGGCAAGUGUGAAUGAAGCUAACUCUGCCAGGAUCAGUCAAAUACCUUUUCAGCGUAGUUAUUCUGUUUCUGAUGAGUUGGCUACUGAAACUGUAGAAGUUAAAACUAUUAGAGAAUUGGUCGACUGCAUGGAGGAAGGACAUAUUUGGAUUGUUGCGACUGUAGUGAAUCUUCUACUUGAAAAAGAAUGGUCAUAUUUGGGGUGCAAGAGAUGCUCGAAGAAGGUUGACUAAAUUGGAAGUAAAUUUCACAGCAAGAAAUGUGAUCGCCUUGAUAGUUCUGCCACUCAUAGGUACAAGCUUCGAGUGCAAGUGAUGGAUCACACUGGCUUUAUAUCUUUGUUGCUUUGGGAUCGUGAAGCAACAAGUCUCAUUGGGAAGUCUGCUAAUGAGUUAAAUGAAAUUUCAAUUGAGGCAUAUUUUAUUCAUUUUAAUUGUUAUAGUGUAUUGUUAACAGGUUUGAACCUGAUAUGCUUGCGUUCUCGGGAUGCUACUAUGGCGGAGUGGAUAAGGAAAGGACAGAACUAGGAAAGAUACGGCGGAGGUGGAAAACUUUACAUGUGAGACCCCAAGAAUAUCAGUUUUUUGGUCAUUUCCUCAUAUUGAGUCAUCAUGGCAAUGUACUUUAAAGAUUUGAUUGUUUGUUCCACUUAUGCAUUGAACUAUUCUGUAUUUAUUCA